AGUGGGGAAGCAUUUGGAGACCGUUCGGAGAGGAAAAGAUCCGGUACCGUGAGUUGGAGCACGCGUGAUCGGCUUUCAGGUCCGAGCACUAGUAGCCAGCGUUGAUCGAGCUUGGAGUAGACUUAUCUGGAGACGGGGGUGAGCACACGGCGUUCUGUACUAUUUCGGUCUCCAUCUGUAUAUAUAGACUUGUCUUCUUCCCUUCGAGACAGUCCAGUCUCUGUUGUCCAGUUUUGGGACUUGUACUCAUUUUGUAGUAGCUCUGUACUAGUGACUUCCAGGUUCUGGGAGGGAUCUUUAUUUGUAUAUAAGUUUUUGGUUUGCGUA